rnacentral:tRNA from 1 species
GCGGGCGUAGCUCAGCGGUAGAGCACAGCGUUCCCAACGCUGCUGUCGAGGGUUCGAUCCCCUUCGCCCGCUCCA